rnacentral:lncRNA from 1 species
UUUAAACACCACCUCUUGCUUCUUUUCCGAUUUAAACACCACUCUUUUGGUUUAAACACCACUCUUUGCUUCUUUUCCGGUUUAAACAUUGAUCUUUGGUUUAAACACUACUCUUUUGGUUUAAAUACCACCUCUUACUUCUUUUUCGGUUUAAACACUACUCUUUUGGUUUAAACACCACUCUUUUGGUUUAAACACCACUCUUGCUUCUUUUCUGGAUUAAACACCGACCUUUGGUUUAAAUACCACUCUUUUGGCUCAAACACUACCCUUUUUU